UGAUUGGGUGAUAACAUGCCAAGAGCUUUGCCAUUGGUAGAAUUCUGUUUCGUCCCAGAAACCCUAGUAGCGAAAGUCCCGCCCCGCCAGUUUACAGCUCGGUGCCGGGAGCUGCUGGGUAGUGAAGUGACGAAGAUGCCGGAGAUUAAUUGGAAUGUGUUGGAGAAUUUUCCUCUGCUCCUAUACAUUCUAGCAGCAAAAACCAUCCUGAUAUGCCUGGCGUUUGCUGGGGUUAAGAUUUACCAGAGUAAGAAGAUUGAAGCACAGUUAAAGCUGGAGCGGGAAGCAAAGCUGAAAAUGGCAGCUGAGAAGGAGGAAAUGGACAAGAAAGAAGACUGAGGUGAGCUGCAAAUCACAUGGUGGCAAAAUCACUGGUAAAUCUCCUCCUGGGGAAUUCCAGAGAGGGGGCUGGCUGACAACUUCCCUCCCCUAGGCUCAUGGAUUCCUGCACUGGGUUCCGGCAGCCGUUUACUUCUCCUGGGGACUUACCAAAGGAGCAUCACUUGGUGGAAACAGACCCAGAUGCCAUAGCCUCUCCCCAAGGCUCCUGGAACUUUGCUCUUGGCUCCCACAGCAAAUUCUUCCCCCUGAGGACUUCAGGAGAGGGGCAUCCCCUGGAGUGAUCGGAGAGGUCUUCUUAUACAUGCAAGGAUGAGCCGAGUUCCUGGAAGCGUGCUGUGAUGGAUGGAAAAAUAUGAUACUUUUAAAUUAUAUAUUUAUACCAUUUUAAUGUUUAGUUUGCUUUGUACAUAAUAAAACUUGACCGCUUAAAAGUG